rnacentral:sRNA from 1 species
AGGUGCGAUCAUACCAGCACUAAUGCACCGGAUCCCAUCAGAACUCCGCAGUUAAGCGUGCUUGGGCGAGAGUAGUACUAGGAUGGGUGACCUCCUGGGAAGUCCUCGUGUUGCACCUCUUUUUUUCACGGGAGGGUAGCAUUAACGGACUCG